rnacentral:sRNA from 1 species
GCUCAGAGUGGUGGUGCACACUUGUAAUCCCAAAGACUUGGGAGGCUGAGGCAGGAGGAUCACAAGAUUGAGGGCAGCCUCAAAAAUUUAGCAAGACCCUGUCUCAA